GUGCAAUUAAAUAUUAUAUUAAAUAAUCUUAUCUGGUAAAGCGAAUGAUUAGAGGCAUUAGGGUCGAAACGAUCUUAACCUAUUCUCAAACUUUAAAUGGGUAAGAACCUUAUCUUUCUUGAUAUGAAGAUAUAUAGGUUAUGAUAUAUUGUGCCCAGUGGGCCACUUUUGGUAAGCAGAACUGGCGCUGUGGGAUGAACCAAACGUAAUGUUAAGGCGCCUAAAUUAACAACUCAUACUGAUACCAUGAAAGGCGUUGCUUGCUUAAAACAGCAGGACGGUGGACAUGGAAGUCGUAAUCCGCUAAGGAGUGUGUAACAACUCACCUGCCGAAGCAACUAGCCCUUAAAAUGGAUGGCGCUCAAGUUGUAUGCCUAUACAUUACCGCUAAAAUAUAUGAUUUAUAUAUAAUGUAUAAAUUUUGAAAUUUUAGUGAGUAGGAGGGUACAAUGGUGUGCGUAAAUUCUUUGGCGUGAGCCUGCAUGGAGCCGCCAUUGGCACAGAUCUUGGUGGUAGUAGCAAAUAAUCGAAUGAGACCUUGGAGGACUGAAGUGGAGAAGGGUUUCGUGUGAACAGUGGUUGAUCACGAGUUAGUCGGUCCUAAGUUCAAGGCGAAAGCCGAAAAAUGUUAAAAAAUAUUUUUAUAUAUAUAAUAUAUAUCUAUAUUGUUUUUUAAAUGAACGAAAGGGAAUACGGUUCCAAUUCCGUAACCUGUUGAGUAUACGUUUGUAAUUAAAAAUGGGCUUUAAUGCGCUCAUCCUGGUAACAGUAACAACCAUAAAGAAGCCGUCGAGAGAUAUCGAAAGAGUUUUCUUUUCUGUUUUAUAGUCGUAUUACCAUGGAAGUCUUUCGAAGAGAGAUAUGGUAAAUGGACUAGAAGAGCAUGGCAUUUACUGCUGUGUCGAUAUUUUCUCCUCGGACCUUGAAAAUUGAUGGUAGGGCUACGCAAAGUUCUUAACAGGCCGUACCGAUAUCCGCAGCUGGUCUCCAAGGUGAAGAGUCUCUAGUCGAUAGAAUAAUUUAGGUAAGGGAACCUCGGCAAAUUAGAUCCGUAACUUCGGGAUAAGGAUUGGCUCUGAAGAUUGAGAUAGUCGGGCUUGAUUGGGAAGCAAUAAUAUGGUUUAUGUACUCGUUCUGGGUAAAUUAGAAUUUUAUUUAUAUAUUAUAUGUAAAUGGAAUUUGUUCCCCGGAUAGUAGUUUACGUCACCAAUUGCGGAACUUUCCUGCUAAUAAUACAUUAAAUGAAUAAAAAUUUAAUUUAAUUUUAACCAAAAAAAUUUAAAACGGCUAUCAAUUAACAAUCAAUUCAAAACUGGCACGGACUUGGGGAAUCCGACUGUCUAAUUAAAACAAAGCAUUGUGAUGGCCCUAACGGGUGUUGACACAAUGUGAUUUCUGCGCAUGCUCUGAAUGUCCAAAGUGACAGAAACUCAAGUAAGCGCGGGUAAACGCGGGAGUAACUAUGACUCUCUUAAGGUAACCAAAUGCCUCGUCAUCUAAUUAGUGACGCGCAUGAAAUGGGGAGCGCGAGAAUUCCCACAGUGCCUAUCUACUAUCUAGCGAAACACAGCCAAGGGAACGGCCUUGGAAUAAUCACUGGGGAAAGAAGACCCUGUUGAGCUUGACUCUAGUCUGGCAGUGUAAGGAGACAUAAGAGGUGUAGCAUAAGUGGGAGGUAUUAAAAAUUUUUUUCUAUAAAAAAUUUUUUAUAUCAAAAAUGAAAUACCACUACCCCUUAAUGGUUCCUUACUUACUUGGGAAAGUGGAACGUGUAUCAAUUAACUAACCAAUAAAUGGGAAAUAACCUAAAAUUUUAAAAAAUUUAAAAUUUAAGGGAAUUUGGUUUGGAACAAGUUUCCUGGAAAAAAUGCCUUGGAUUUGGUAAAAACACCAAACAAAUUUGGGAAAUGAAAUUUUGGAAAAUAAAUUUUUUAAAAAAUUUUUUAAAAUUAAAAAAAAAGUAAUUUGGGAAAACCUCUAAGCUCCCGGCAGACCAAUUUCAGGCCAUAUUUGGGUAAAGAUUUGGCGGGCGCGGUAUAUCUCACAAAAAAAACCGGGGGUGCCCAAGGGCCACCCACAGUGCGGACAGAACCCACACAUAGCACAAAGGGGCAAU
rnacentral:rRNA from 1 species